UUCCGGUUGAUCCUGCCGUGACCUGACUGCUAUCGGAUUGAUACUAGGCCAUGCGAGUCAUUGUAGCAAUACAAGGUUACGGCUCAGUAACGCGUAGUCAACCUACCUUAUGGACGGGGAUAACCUCGGGAAACUGAGAAUAAUACCCGAUAGAACACUAUGCCUGGAAUGGUUUAUGUUUCAAAUAAUUUAUUGCCGUAAGAUGGGACUGCGGCCUAUCCCUUUGUUGGUGAGGUAAUGGCCCACCAAGACUAUUACAGGGACGGGCUCUGAGAGGAGUAGCCCGGAGAUGGGUACUGAGACACGGACCCAGGCCCUAUGGGGCGCAACAAGCGAGAAAACUUUGCAAUGUGCAAAAGCACGACAAGGUUAAUCCGAGUGGUUUCUGCUAAAGGAACCUUUUGUCUUCAUAGAACCACUGACGAAUAAGGGGUGGGCAAGUUCUGGUGUCAGCCGCCGCGGUAAAACCACCACCUCACGUGGUCAGGAUGAUUAUUGGGCCUAAAGCAUCCGUAGCCUGCUUUGUUAGUUUUCGGUUAAGUCCAUAUGCUCAACGUAUGGGCUGCCGGGAAUACUGCGCAGCUAGGGAGUGGGAGAGGUAGACGGUACUCGGUAGGAACGCGUAAAAUCCUUUGAUCUAUUGAUGACCACCUGUGGCGAAGGCGGUCUACCACAACACGUCCGACGGUGAGGGAUGACAGCGGGGUGAGCUAACCGGAUUAGAUACUCUGGUAGACCCAGCUGUAAACUAUGCAUACUCGGUGAUGCAUUGGCUUGAUGCCAUUGCAGUGCCGCACGGAAGCCGUUAAUCUUUGCCGCCUGAGAUGUACGUACUCUAGUAUGAAACUUAAACGGAAGUAGACGUGGGAGUCUCCACAAUCGGCUGAAG
rnacentral:rRNA from 1 species